GUAGUCCACGCUGUAAACGAUGAAUGUUAAAUAUAGGAAGGCAACUUUCUGUGUUACAGCUAACGCGUUAAGCAUUCCGCCUGGGGACUACGGUCGCAAGAUUAAAACUCAAAGGAAUUGACGGGGACCCGCACAAGCGGUGGAGCAUGUGGUUUAAUUCGAUGUAACGCGAAAAACCUUACCAAUCCUUGACAUGGAGAUUACAGCCACUUGAAGAAGUGGCCUCGGUUCGGCCGGAUCUCACACAGGUGUUGCAUGGCUGUCGUCAGCUCGUGUCGUGAGAUGUUGGGUUAAGUCCCGCAACGAGCGCAACCCUCAUCCUUAAUUGCCAUCAGGUCAUGCUGGGAACU
rnacentral:rRNA from 1 species